rnacentral:rRNA from 1 species
UACGGGGGGAGCAAGCGUUGUUCGGAUUUACUGGGCGUAAAGGGCGCGUAGGCGGCACCGCAAGUCGACUGUGAAAUCUCCGGGCUUAACUCGGAAAGGUCAGCCGAUACUGCGGGGCUAGAGUGCAGAAGGGGCAACUGGAAUUCUCGGUGUAGCGGUGAAAUGCGUAGAUAUCGAGAGGAACACCUGCGGCGAAGGCGGGUUGCUGGGCUGACACUGACGCUGAGGCGCGAAAGCCAGGGGAGCGAACGGG